GAUGAAGAACGCAGCGAAAUGCGAUACGUAAUGUGAAUUGCAGAAUUCAGUGAAUCAUCGAAUCUUUGAACGCAUAUUGCGCUCUCUGGUAUUCCGGAGAGCAUGCUUGUUUGAGUAUCAGUAAACACCUCAACUUCCAUAUCUUUUUUGAAAUGGGAGUUGGACUUGAGUGAUCCCAACGCUUUUCCUCACCGAAAAGUGGCGGGUUACUUGAAAUGCAGGUGCAGCUGGACUUUUCUCUGAGCUAUAAGCAUAUCUAUUUAGUCUGCCUAAAAAACAGCUUAUUACCUUUGCUGCAGCUAACAUAAAGGAGAUUAGUUCUUGUGCUGACUGAUGCAGGAUUCACAAAGACAGGCUUCGGCCGACUUUGUAAACUCGAUCUCAGAUCAAGUAAGACUACCCGCUGAACUUAAGCAUAUCAAUAAGCGGAGGA
rnacentral:misc_RNA from 1 species